rnacentral:rRNA from 1 species
UGGGGAAUAUUGCACAAUGGGGAAACCGUUAGCAUGCAGCAACGCCGCGUGAGUGAUGAAGGCCUUCGGGUUGUAAAGCAUCUGUCUUCAGGGACGAUAAUGACGGUACCUGAGGAGGAAGCCACGGCUAACUACGUGCCAGCAGCCGCGGUAAUACGUAGGUGGCAAGCGUUGUCCGGAUUUACUGGGCGUAAAGGGAGCGUAGGCGGAUACUUAAGUGGGAUGUGAAAUACCCCGGGGCUCAACUCGGGUGCUGCAUUCCAAACUGGGUGUCUAGAGUGCAGGAGAGGAAAGUGGAAUUCCUAGUGUAGCGGUGAAAUGCGUAGAGAUUAGGAAGAACACCAGUGGCGAAGGCGACUUUUUCUGGACUGUAACUGACGCUGAGGCUCGAAAGCGUGGGGAGCAAACA